GCGUCUUUAGCUCAGUUGGUAGAGCAACUGACUCUUAAUCAGUGGGUCCAGGGUUCGAGUCCCUGAAGACGCA
rnacentral:tRNA from 1 species